UACGUAGGGGGCAAGCGUUAUCCGGAAUUACUGGGCGUAAAGCGCGCGUAGGUGGUUCGUUAAGUUGGAUGUGAAAUCCCCGGGCCUCAACCUGGGAACUGCAUUCAAAACUGACGAGCUAGAGUAUGGUAGAGGGUGGUGGAAUUUCCUGUGUAGCGGUGAAAUGCGUAGAUAUAGGAAGGAACACCAGUGGCGAAGGCGACCACCUGGACUGAUAAUGACACUGAGGUGCGAAAGCGUGGGGAGCAAACAGG
rnacentral:rRNA from 1 species